UACGGAGGAUGCCAAGCGUUAUCCGGAAUCAUUGGGUUUAAAGGGUCCGGUAGGCGGAUUUAAUAAGUCAGUGGUGUAAAGCCCAUCGCUCAACGGUGGAAACGGGCCAUUGAUACGUAGUUAGAUCUUGAAUUAUUAGGAAGUAACUAGAAUAGUGUAGGUGUAGCGGUGAAAUGCUUAGAGAUUACAUGGAAAUACCAAUUGCGAAGGCAGGUUAACGUACUAAUUGAUUGACGCUCGAUGGACGAAAGCGUGGGUAGCGAACAGG
rnacentral:rRNA from 1 species